CCCGGCGAUGUGAGACCUCAAGAUGCGUAGAACAGGCUUGGAACGGCCGGCCAGAGAGGGUGACAGCCCCGUAUGCAACUUGAUGAGGCUCUAGCGGGUACCUGAGUACCGCAGGACACGUGCAAUCCGGCGGGAAUCCACGGAGACCAUUCCGUAAGGCUAAAUAUUACCGACCGACCGAUAGUGAACGAGUACCGUGAGGGAAAGGUGAAAAGAACCCCGAGAGGGGAGUGAAAGAGAACCUGAAACCACUCGCUUACAAGCAGUGGGAGCACGAUGCCGCAAGGCCGUGUGACCGCGUACCUUUUGCAUAAUGGGCGUGCGAGUUGCGUUUCGUGGCGAGGCUAAGCCGUCAGGUGGAGCCGCAGCGAAAGCGAGUCCGAAUAGGGCGAUCAGUCGCGGGACGCAGACCCGAAGCCCGGCGAUCUAUCCAUGGCCAGGAUGAAGCGCGGGUAAAACCACGUGGAGGUCCGAACCCACUAACGUUGAAAAGUUAGGGGAUGAGCUGUGGAUUGGAGUGAAAGGCUAAUCAAGCC
rnacentral:rRNA from 1 species